rnacentral:rRNA from 1 species
AUACGGAGGGGGCUAGCGUUGUUCGGAAUUACUGGGCGUAAAGCGCACGUAGGCGGAUUAGAAAGUUAGAGGUGAAAUCCCAGGGCUUAACCCUGGAACUGCCUUUAAAACUAGUAGUCUAGAGUUCGAGAGAGGUGAGUGGAAUUCCAAGUGUAGAGGUGAAAUUCGUAGAUAUUUGGAGGAACACCAGUGGCGAAGGCGGCUCACUGGCUCGAUACUGACGCUGAGGUACGAAAGCGUGGGUAGCAAACAGGAUUAGAAACCCCAGUAGUCC